rnacentral:rRNA from 1 species
AACGAACGCUGGCGGCAGGCCUAACACAUGCAAGUCGAGCGAGACCUUCGGGUCUAGUGGCGGACGGGUGAGUAACGCGUGGGAACGUGCCCUUCUAUACGGAAUAGCCCCGGGACACUGGGAGUAAUACCGUAUACGCCCUUCUGGGGAAAGAUUUAUCGGAGGAGGAUCGGCCCGCGUUGGAUUAGGUAGUUGGUAGGGUAAUGGCCGACCACGGCGUCGCUCCAUAGCUGGUUUGAGAGGAUGAUCAGCCACUCUGAGAGUGAGACACGGUCCAGACUCCUACGCGAGGCAGAAGUGGGGAAUCUUGGACAAUGGGGGCAACCCUGAUGUAGCCAUGCCGCGUGAGUGAUGAAGGCCUGAGGGUUGUAAAGCUCUUUCAUCCGCGACGAUAAUGACGGUACCAGCAGAAUAAGCCCCGGCUAACUCCGUG